UGGGGAAUUUUCCGCAAUGGGCGAAAGCCUGAUGCAGCCAUGCCGCGUGUAUGAAGAAGGCCUUCGGGUUGUAAAGUACUUUCAGCGGGGAGGAAGGUGUUGAGGUUAAUAACCUCAGCAAUUGACGUUACCCGCAGAAGAAGCACCGGCUAACUCCGUGCCAGCAGCCGCGGUAAUACGGAGGGUGCAAGCGUUAAUCGGAAUUACUGGGCGUAAAGCGCACGCAGGCGGUCUGUCAAGUCGGAUGUGAAAUCCCCGGGCUCAACCUGGGAACUGCAUUCGAAACUGGCAGGCUAGAGUCUUGUAGAGGGGGGUAGAAUUCCAGGUGUAGCGGUGAAAUGCGUAGAGAUCUGGAGGAAUACCGGUGGCGAAGGCGGCCCCCUGGACAAAGACUGACGCUCAGGUGCGAAAGCGUGGGGAGCAAACA
rnacentral:rRNA from 1 species